rnacentral:rRNA from 1 species
CCUACGGGAGGCUGCAGUGGGGAAUAUUGGACAAUGGGGGCAACCCUGAUCCAGCCAUGCCGCGUGUGUGAAGAAGGCCCUCGGGUUGUAAAGCACUUUCAGUGAGGAAGAACGCCUGGUGGUUAAUACCCAUCAGGAAGGACAUCACUCACAGAAGAAGCACCGGCUAACUCCGUGCCAGCAGCCGCGGUAAUACGGAGGGUGCGAGCGUUAAUCGGAAUUACUGGGCGUAAAGCGCGCGUAGGUGGCUUGAUAAGCCGGUUGUGAAAGCCCCGGGCUCAACCUGGGAACGGCAUCCGGAACUGUCAAGCUUGAGUGCAGGAGAGGAAGGUAGAAUUCGCGGUGUAGCGGUGAAAUGCGUAGAGAUCGGGAGGAACACCAGUGGCGAAGGCGGCCUUCUGGACUGACACUGACACUGAGGUGCGAAAGCGUGGGUAGCAAACAGGAUUAGAUACCCCUGUAGUC